rnacentral:tRNA from 1 species
GCCCAAGUGGUGGAAUUGGUAGACACGCCAUCUUGAGGGGGUGGUGAUCGUAUGAUCGUGCGGGUUCAAGUCCCGCCUUGGGCA